CACCGCCUGGGGAGUACGACCGCAAGGUUAAAACUCAAAUGAAUUGACGGGGACCCGCACAAGUAGUGGAGCAUGUGGUUUAAUUCGAAGAUACGCGCAGAACCUUACCAACACUUGACAUGUUCGUCGCGACUUUAAGAGAUUAGAGUUUUCGGUUCGGCCGGACGAAACACAGGUGCUGCAUGGCUGUCGUCAGCUCGUGUCGUGAGAUGUUGGGUUAAGUCCCGCAACGAGCGCAACCCUCACUUUUAGUUGCCAUCAUUUAGUUGGGCACUCUGAAAGAACUGCCAGUGAUAAGCUGGAGGAAGGUGGGGAUGACGUCAAGUCCUCAUGGCCCUUACGUGUUGGGCUACACACGUGCUACAAUGGCAUUUACAAUAGGAAGCAAGAUGGCGACAUCAAGCAAAUCCUAAAAAAAUGCCUCAGUUCGGAUUGUACUCUGCAACUCGAGUACAUGAAGCUGGAAUUACUAGUAAUCGCGGAUCAGCGCGCCGCGGUGAAUACGUUCCCGGGUCUUGUACACACCGCCCGUCACACCAUGGGAGUUGGUUCUACCUUAAGGCAAAGCUUAAAACCUUUGACCACGGUAUAGUCAGCGACUGGGGUGAAGUCGUAACAAGGUAGCCGUAGGGGAACCUGCGGCUGGAUUACCUCCUUUCUAAGGAUGAUUAGGGAUUAUUUCCUAAUCUAAAUAUUAUACAGGUUAAUGUUGACCGUCCUCAUUUCUCUUCUUAAAGUUAGUGUUUCUCUUUUCUGAAUACGGGCCGGUAGCUCAGUUGGUUAGAGCACACCCUUGAUAAGGGUGGGGUCGAAAGUUCGAGUCUUUCUCGGCCCACCAAUUUAUGGGGGAUUAGCUCAGCUGGGAGAGCGCCUGAUUUGCAUUCAGGAGGUCAGCGGUUCGAUCCCGCUAUCCUCCACCAAGAAACACUUAGUUAUUUAAUUUGUAAAAAUUUAUAUUAUCAAUAUCUAUAUCCGAUUGUUCGAAUAGAUGAACAAUCAUAGAAUGUUCGAAUAGAUGAAUAUUCCAACAAAAUUUGAUUCAACACAGAAUUUUUUUCUG
rnacentral:sRNA from 1 species